GCAAUUUCGUCCAUUUUCUCCUUCGUUAUUCUAACAGUAGGAUGCGAAAAUUAGUUUUUCUAAAUUUUGAUAAAACUAGCAUAAAAGUAACAAAAACUUUGAUAAUUAAACGCUGUGCACGAUUGAAUAAUGAACCAACAAAAUAUGUUCGGCCGGAAGAAUCUGAAAACUUCUUUUUGGGCCGUUUAUCCAUUGCUGGAAUACGGCCUCAUUGACUGUUUGCUGGAGAAUUACCGCAUGAAACCCAUAUUAAUUCAUUCGACAACAGCAGUUGAGGACGUACUGGAGUUGCUCGAUCGAAUCAAGUUGAUCUACGAGUGGAAAAAUGAAAAUAAACGGGAACCAUCUGCUAGAGACGGGGGCGUUGACAUCUAUAGUCGGAACCAAUGACCCGGAGUUUAUUAUUCGAUUGGUUAACAUGAAUGAGUCAGUGAAAAUGCAAUUAUGUGCAAUAUUGAACAGCGAGCAAAAGAAUUAAAACGAAAGCCAUAUCAAAGUGGAAAUAUGUGUAUGCGUGUUCAACGUGUUCUUCAUGUACGGCAAUGCCCUUGUUGAACGAGUACCUCGAGUAGCUACGUAAAAACUUUCACGCGUUUGAGGGCGAGUGCAAACACACCCUCCGAGAAGACAAGAAUGAUGUUGGCGAACUUUGCUGCUUUUUGAGGGAUCUUUCAAAGUCAACUACGAAUGAUUUAUAUUGAAAAUACUAAAAAAAGAGACGACACACCAGACCUUCAAGUGAUUCAGGGUUUAAUUAAAUAAUGACUGGUCGGCGGGGGACAAUAUCGCUACUUAGAGCGAGCAUGAUGACAUCGAAUUCAGUGUACGUACCCCACCUACAAUAAAUCUAAC